rnacentral:rRNA from 1 species
UACGGGGGGGGCAAGCGUUGUUCGGAAUUACUGGGCGUAAAGGGCUUGUAGGUGGCCAACUAAGUCAGACGUGAAAUCCCUCGGCUUAACCGGGGAACUGCGUCUGAUACUGGAUGGCUUGAGUGUGGGAGAGGGAUGCGGAAUUCCAGGUGUAGCGGUGAAAUGCGUAGAUAUCAGGAGGAACACCGGUGGCGAAGGCGGCACUCUGGGCCGGUACUGACGCUGAGGAGCGAAAGCGUGGGGAGCGAACAGG